rnacentral:rRNA from 1 species
AGUGAACGCUGGCGGUAGGCCUAACACAUGCAAGCCGAACGGCAGCACAGUAAGAGCUUGCUCUUACGGGUGGCGAGUGGCGGACGGGUGAGGAAUACAUCGGAAUCUACUUUUUCGUGGGGGAUAACGUAGGGAAACUUACGCUAAUACCGCAUACGACCUACGGGUGAAAGCAGGGGAUCUUCGGACCUUGCGCGAUUGAAUGAGCCGAUGUCGGAUUAGCUAGUUGGCGGGGUAAAGGCCCACCAAGGCGACGAUCCGUAGCUGGUCUGAGAGGAUGAUCAGCCACACUGGAACUGAGACACGGUCCAGACUCCUACGGGAGGCAGCAGUGGGGAAUAUUGGACAAUGGGCGCAAGCCUGAUCCAGCCAUACCGCGUGGGUGAAGAAGGCCUUCGGGUUGUAAAGCCCUUUUGUUGGGAAAGAAAAGCAGCAGGUUAAUACCCCGCUGUUCUGGCGGUACCCAAAGAAUAAGCACCGGCUAACUUCGUG